rnacentral:rRNA from 1 species
AAAGCGCGCGUAGGCGGUUACGUAAGUUGGAUGUGAAAUCCCCGGGCUCAACCUGGGAAUUGCAUUCAAAACUGCGUGGCUAGAGUGUGGGAGAGGAAGGUAGAAUUCCAGGUGUAGCGGUGAAAUGCGUAGAUAUCUGGAGGAAUACCGAUGGCGAAGGCAGCCUUCUGGCCUAACACUGACGCUGAGGUGCGAAAGCAUGGGGAGCAAACAGGAUUAGAUACCCUAGU